GACGAACGCUGGCGGCGCGCCUAACACAUGCAAGUCGAACGGAAUCAAGAGGAGCUUGCUUUUCUUGAUUUAGUGGCGAACGGGUGAGUAACGCGUGAGUAACCUGCCCUGGAGUGGGGGACAACAGUUGGAAACGACUGCUAAUACCGCAUAAGCCCACGGUACCGCAUGGUACUGAGGGAAAAGGAUUUAUUCGCUUCAGGAUGGACUCGCGUCCAAUUAGCUAGUUGGUGAGGUAACGGCCCACCAAGGCGACGAUUGGUAGCCGGACUGAGAGGUUGAACGGCCACAUUGGGACUGAGACACGGCCCAGACUCCUACGGGAGGCAGCAGUGGGGGAUAUUGCACAAUGGGGGAAACCCUGAUGCAGCGACGCCGCGUGGAGGAAGAAGGUUUUCGGAUUGUAAACUCCUGUCGUUAGGGACGAUAAUGACGGUACCUAACAAGAAAGCACCGGCUAACUACGUGCCAGCCGCCGCAGUAA
rnacentral:rRNA from 1 species